GCGGAUGUGGCGGAAUUGGUAGACGCGCUGGAUUUAGGUUCCAGUACCGCAAGGUGUGAAAGUUCGAGUCUUUUCAUCCGCACCA
rnacentral:tRNA from 1 species